rnacentral:lncRNA from 1 species
AUGGCACUGUGCAAACCUGGGAACCACAGGAAGGGCUUGGAGGAACUCCUGGCAACGGGAGGCAUGUUUCCAGGGCCUCCUGAGCAGGAUGACAUCAGAAGUGCUCCUUUCAACCAUGGAAACCAAAGGCAAUCAACAAGUGCUCAGCCACAUAUUCACAGACUCUGGAAGGAAAAAGCACUCCUCCCACUGCUGUGCUAUAGGGCCCUUCUCCCCCUCCUUCUCAUCAUCUCCUGCCUGGCUUCCCUUGGAGAUGGGAGAAAGGCAAUGGCUGUGAUCUUCAUGCUCACAUGGCCUAAUAAGUACCAUCAAGCACCAACUCAAGAACAACUCAUUGCUUUCUUUAUUACACGGAUGGUGGAAGGCAGCACCCCCACUCUAGGCAGCACCAACCCUUCUACGUCACAGCCACAUCACCAUGGGCAGCCAGCAGCUCCAGGAACCACCCUUCAGCUGUCACAGCUAUGUCACAAGAGCACAACAGUGGUGAUGGCUGUGUUCCUCCAGACCACACAUGGGGACAGCGAUACAGAAUUGGAGUGGUUCUUUCCACAAAUGUCUGCGGAAAUGGCUGGCAGAGCAGCAACCCGAUGGGCACCCAAAUGAAGAUGGAGCCAGGGCAGGAUACACGUCUAUCCUCAUCUCACUAAAUGGUCUCCAUGCUGCCAUAAGGAAAAGGUAAGUCAGCCACAAACAGUACCCCUUCUAGUUUCUGAGGGUCCCUGGGAGCUCCCCAAGGUCCUCCUGCCCACACCACAACAUUUGAUACCUCUCUGCAGAGACCUGGCCCCACGGCAGGUGCUGGCACCAGACCUAUUGAUUGCAAUGGCACUUUCAAAACACGGCCAUGGAAAUGGCUGGCAGAGCAGCAACCCGGUGAGCAGGGCAAUGCUGGGGAGGGCAGCAUAGGCAACCAGGGCACGUGGCUGCUUCUUCCUUGCUUCCCAUCUGCCUUGCAGAUGGGCACCCAAAUGAAGAUGGAGCCAGGGCAGGAUACACGUCUAUCCUCAUCUCACUAAAUGGUCUCCAUGC